rnacentral:rRNA from 1 species
UACGGAGGGGGCGAGCGUUAUUCGGAAUUAUUGGGCGUAAAGAGCUCGUAGGCGGCUUGUCGCGUCGUCCGUGAAAACCCACAGCUCAACUGUGGGCUUGCGGUCGAUACGGGCAGGCUAGAGUUCGGUAGGGGAGACUGGAAUUCCUGGUGUAGCGGUGAAAUGCGCAGAUAUCAGGAGGAACACCGGUGGCGAAGGCGGGUCUCUGGGCAGUAACUGACGCUGAGGAGCGAAAGCGUGGGGAGCGAACAGG